GUCCACUUACCAAAUCGAUGUCAAAAUAACAGCGAGUGCUCCGCCCCUUGCUCCGCCGCAUAUUGCAAUCAUGCUUCGCUUGUUCAGUCCAUUUGAUAGUGUCGCCUCACGGCGUUCACCGUUGCAUCUCUCUUGUUCCGAUCCAAUCGCCGCCCCCUUCCCUAAGCGAGCGGCAGCGAGAGCGACGGCGGUCGUCGCCAUGAGCAGCGGCAAGGUCGUGUGCGUCACCGGAGCCUCCGGUUACAUUGCUUCCUGGCUUGUCAAGUUCCUUCUGCAGCGUGGAUACACCGUACGCGCCACCGUCCGCGACCCUGCUGAUACUAAGAAGACUGAACAUUUGCGUUCUUUGGAUGGGGCGACUGAGAGGCUUCAUUUAUUUCAAGCCAACUUGCUCGAGGAGGGCUCCUUUGAUGCUGGAACUGAAGGUUGCGAUGGUGUUUUUCACACUGCAUCUCCUUAUUAUCAUGGAAUCACUGAUCCACAGGCUGAGUUAAUUGAUCCAGCAUUGAAAGGGACACUCAACGUAUUGGCUUCUUGCAAGAAGUUUUCUAUUGAAAGGGUAGUUGUGACAUCAUCAAUGGCUGCUGUUGCAUACAAUGGUAAACCACGAACUCCUGAUGUGGUAGUCAAUGAGAGAUGGUUUUCAAGUCCUGGGUUUUGUGAACAGGAGAAGCUAUGGUAUGUUCUCUCAAAAACCUUGGCCGAGGAUGCUGCUUGGAAGUUUGCUAAGGAGAAUGCCAUGAAUAUUGUCACAAUAAAUCCUGCAAUGGUUAUAGGCCCUCUUCUCCAACCAACACUGAACACAAGCUGCGCAGCAAUCCUUAACCUGAUAAAUGGUUCGCCUACAUAUUGGAAUUCCUCGAUUGGGUGGGUAAAUGUUAAAGAUGUAGCCAUGGCACACAUUCUGGCAUUUGAAAUUCCCACAGCCUCUGGAAGAUAUUGUCUAGUUGAAAGAGUUGCUCACUAUUCAGAGGUUGUAAAGACUAUACGCAAACUUUAUCCUUCCCUUCAGCUACCUGAAAAGUAAGUCACCAAGGGUCUGUUUACUUGAAUGGACAAUCAAGCGACAGGCGAUACAUUAUACCAAGUCUCCAAGGAUAAGUAUAGAAGUUUAGGACUUGAUUACAUUCCUAUCGAAACAAGCAUUAAGGAAACCAUUGAGAGCUUGAAGGAGAAAAACUUCGUCAAGUUCUGAAGUUCUUCAACAGGCAAAAUGAAUUGCACUUCCAAGUUGGUGGGAAAACGUAACUGGACUUCAUCUUCUUCAAAGACAGACAGAAUAAAUCACUAUUAAAAAUAAUGGGAAAUGGAGAAUUUUGUGGUGUAGAUAAAAAAAGCCUUUUAAAUUAUUAUUCUUGUAAUGCUUAUUCAGCAAGCUUUUACUUUAUUUCUUUCCUAGAACACAAAGUAUAUGCAUUCCAAUAGUUUUGUUGUGAGCUUGGGGCUGUAACUUCUCUCUUAUAUAGGAUUAAGUCUAUCCUAUUUUGUCCGUGUCACACAGACAAUGACCAACAAUGUAUCUCAGACAGUUCAGUAAAUGCAAGUAAAGACAGCUUCUCUACAACAGUGUGAUGAGCAUCUGAUGGAGCUGCCAAUCUCUCUUGCAACAUACAGCUUUCGAUCCCUCCGCAAUGGUAAUAUCUUCUUCUCUAAAGCUGGGUUUCGGAAUUUUCUCCCAUUUGUGUUGACACUUACUUUGAGUUGGAUUCCUGCGAACUACAAUUUUCGUAAUUGUAUCAAUGCAUGUCGAUGCAUUUUAUAUAUUGGCACUCUUGUAGCUGUUUUGGUUGUGUUAUAAUCUUUAUUGAUAGAGAUUGUUAACAGUGUAA